rnacentral:rRNA from 1 species
AGGACGAACGCUGGCGGCGUGCCUAACACAUGCAAGUCGCACGGAGGGGGCAACCCCUCAGUGGCGGACGGGUGAGUAACGCGUAGGUAUCUAUCUCUGGGUGGGGGAUAACAGUGGGAAACUACUGCUAAUACCGCAUGACACCUGAGGGUCAAAGGCGCGAGUCGCCUGGAGAGGAGCCUGCGUACGAUUAGCUUGUUGGUGGGGUAAAGCCUACCAAGGCGACGAUCGUUAGCUGGUCUGAGAGGAUGAUCAGCCACACUGGGACUGAGACACGGCCCAGACUCCUACGGGAGGCAGCAGUGGGGAAUAUUGGACAAUGGGCGAAAGCCUGAUCCAGCAAUGCCGCGUGGGUGAAGAAGGUCUUCGGAUUGUAAAGCCCUUUCGGCGGGACGAUGAUGACGGUACCCGCAGAAGAAGCCCCGGCUAACUUCGUGCCAGCAGCCGC